GAAGCCCUUCGGGGUGGAUUAGUGGCGAACGGGUGAGUAACACGUGGGCAAUCUGCCCUUCACUCUGGGACAAGCCCUGGAAACGGGGUCUAAUACCGGAUAACACUUCCCUCCUCCUGGGGGGUGGUUAAAAGCUCCGGCGGUGAAGGAUGAGCCCGCGGCCUAUCAGCUUGUUGGUGAGGUAAUGGCUCACCAAGGCGACGACGGGUAGCCGGCCUGAGAGGGCGACCGGCCACACUGGGACUGAGACACGGCCCAGACUCCUACGGGAGGCAGCAGUGGGGAAUAUUGCACAAUGGGCGAAAGCCUGAUGCAGCGACGCCGCGUGAGGGAUGACGGCCUUCGGGUUGUAAACCUCUUUCAGCAGGGAAGAAGCGAAAGUGACGGUACCUGCAGAAGAAGCGCCGGCUAACUACGUGCCAGCAGCCGCGGUAAUACGUAGGGCGCAAGCGUUGUCCGGAAUUAUUGGGCGUAAAGAGCUCGUAGGCGGUCUGUCACGUCGGAUGUGAAAGCCCGGGGCUUAACCCCGGGUCUGCAUUCGAUACGGGCAGACUAGAGUGUGGUAGGGGAGAUCGGAAUUCCUGGUGUAGCGGUGAAAUGCGCAGAUAUCAGGAGGAACACCGGUGGCGAAGGCGGAUCUCUGGGCCAUUACUGACGCUGAGGAGCGAAAGCGUGGGGAGCGAACAGGAUUAGAUACCCUGGUAGUCCACGCCGUAAACGGUGGGAACUAGGUGUUGGCGACAUUCCACGUCGUCGGUGCCGCAGCUAACGCAUUAAGUUCCCCGCCUGGGGAGUACGGCCGCAAGGCUAAAACUCAAACGAAUUGACGGGGGCCCGCACAAGCAGCGGAGCAUGUGGCUUAAUUCGACGCAACGC
rnacentral:rRNA from 1 species